CUGCUGAUGCUGCUGCCUACAGACCUACUCUGCCCUGAUGGAACCUCUGGCCAUUGCAGCCUGGGCCACUCAUGCUUCCUGCUCUCUCGAUGUCUAGUGUCUCUUUCUGGUUUUAUUUUCUUUGUGAUUCAGCCCCCCUCUGUAUGGGAGCUUGGGAACAGGUAUUUGCUGGCCUCAGAGUUGAAACUUCUUGGGAUGGCUGGUUAAGACCUUGCCUUCCAAUGUGGGGGAUGUGGGUUUGAUCCCUGGUCAGGGAGCUAGCUAAGCUCCCACCUGCUUCAUGGCCAAAAAAACCCAAAACAUAACAACAAUGUAACAAAUUCAAGAAAGACUUUAAAAAUGGUCCACAUCACACACACACACACACACACACACACACACACACACACACACAAAUUUUUUUUUUAAGAAUUGAAACCUCUCUGGCCUGGCCUGUUCUAGAACCUGAGUGACGUGCAUGAUUCUAUUCUUCCCUAAGAUGUUUCCUGCCAGGAAGCUCCUGGACUCUCAUGGGUGUCAAGGCCUCUCUCUUCUAGACCUAGGUCCUGGUGAAGACACAGUCUGGCUAUUGGCAGAGCCCAGUCAGAGUCUCUGUUUUACAGUUGCCUUCUAUGCCUGCAAACCCACCUGUAGUACCUCUGUUGAAUCCCUUCAGACAGAUAGGCCCUCCUGGGACCACCCAUUUGACCUUUUAAAUUGCUUUCACUGCUAGAAAGUUCUUCCUUCAUUCACUUGACAAUUCUUUGUAGAAACCAUUCCUUAGUCUGAGACCCAGCCCUCUAUUCUGGGGACAGGCCAGGUGGGGGUCUCUGCUCACACAGAGUUUAAAUCUAAAUUGGGGGCGUGGAGGUAGAAAACACAGAGAAUACAAAUGAUAAUGAGAUGUUUGAAAAAAACUGAGCUUGGCGGGGAAGCUCCAGGAGGCAGAGGAUGAUACCUCGGAGGCUUCUCUGAGGAGGUGGUGUUCAGGGUGGAGACCUGGUCCACUGGGGACCAGAGGGAUCAACCAUGGGGAUGAAUGUAACCUCCGACUGCAGCAUUAUUUUUAUGGAGAAAAUGGGACCUGCUUUACAAUGACUCAUUCAACGGAUCCCAACUAAGUGUGAUGCUCACCCUGGUCCCCAGAAUUACUUGAGACAGAAGCUACUAUCUUAGUGUUCGUCAAUUUUUCAAUCAGCAAACAUUGGUGGAGGCUCUUCUAGGGCUGGGGCGCUGGCAGUGGGUAUAAAGUGACAUCCUCCCUUGAAAGCCAGGGCAGAGGUGGCGGAGCUGGUGGGGCCGACUCAGGUGCCACCAUUUAUCAUAGUUUAGCAAAAGCCCAAUGUGGACACGAAUAAAGCCCCACAGGGGAGAGAAACUCAGAACACAAACUUCAGAAGGAACUAGGAACUGGUGGCUCAGAUGGUUAAGAAUCUGCCUGCAAUGUAGAAGACACAAGUUCAGUUCCUGGGUCGGGAAGAUCCCCUGGAGAAGGGAAUAGCUACCCAUUCCAGUAUUCUUGUCUGGCGAAUUCCAUGGACAGAGGAGCCUAGCAGGCUACAGUCCAUAGUGUCACAGUCAGACAUGAGUGAGCGACUUAACACUUAACUGGGUGCAGUCCUCCCUUGGGACAGAGGGACAAACCUCUGUGUUUUGACCCUCACACCCUUUCUACAUUUGUUACUAUUUCUGGUCUAGGGGGUGGACCCAGGGCUCCACUAAAAACAGCACAGAACGCACAUCUAUAAACUGUCCCCCAAGGGUUCCAGGGUUUAAACCAAUCUUGAGGCACACCAUCAUACGAUAUGGAGUGUUCAUUCCAAGAUUUCAAAUG
ensembl:lncRNA